rnacentral:rRNA from 1 species
AUGGAGCCAGCCGCCGUCACCGCCUCCGCCUCCGCGGACGGGGGCGCCUUCCUCGAGUUCAUCGACUACGCCAUCUCCGUCGUCACCUCGUCCGGGGGCGACGGCAGCGAGUCCCCCGGCGCGGGGCCGGCGCCGGCGCGGCCUCCGUGGGGGUGGACGGUGGCGCAGGUGCUCAAGUCCUGCCGCGCCUACUCCAGCGGCGUCACAGCCGUCAUCCUCCUCUCCGACCUCUUCCAGUCAUGGACAGAGCAGCGUAAAUCUCUUACCGCAAAGACGAAGGUUGAGGUGACUAGCCUUCUAAACACGAGGAGUAAGAGAAGGAGGCUUCCCAGGACUGUCACAAUCGAUUCCAUCCAUGAGAAGAACUUCCUUUCUCCCAAGAGCGUCCUUGAGGCAGUCGUCAUCGAUGUUUUCGUUCUUCCUGGUACAAAUAUAUACAUGCUUACCUUGGGAGACAUGUGGAGUACAUCCACUAUUGAUCUGUAUCUACACCGAAGGUACUACAACUAUAUAGGACAACAUUGUAUCUUGAAGAAGGGUCGAGAAGUUGUGCUCACAGGAUGUUGUCUUCGCACAGCUGUUGUUGAGGGAUCUUGCCAUGCUCGUAUUUUGCCAACAGAAUACAUGGUGAUAUUACUUGAUGAGGAGCAAGAUGAAGAUGCCAUGCUACUUGCUGCACAGUUUUGCACAUAUUCUUUCUCCUCCAUGAUGGAAGAGAAAAGUAGAAAUGAUGUUGUAUACUCAUUUUAUGCCAGGAUUGAGAAGAUUGAGACCUUGGAACCUUUUGGAUGUACAGAAAGAAAGCAGAUUGUGCUUGUAGAUAAUGAUGAUGAGAAGAUCAAAUUUAUUUUAUGGGGAGAGCAGGUUUCACUUGCAAAUCUUUUCAGUGUAGGGAGCAUGCUUGCACUGGACAGUCCUUAUAUUUCCAAUUUUGCGCACAAUAAUCAUGAGGAGCCUCAGGAAUUGUGCCUUGAGUAUGGUAGUGCAACACAGGUUUACUUGGUGCCAAUUGCUCAACACGAGGAACAGGUAUUCCUCACGCCUACUCAAGUAAGGAGCCAAGGACCUCGUCUGUCAUGUGUUCCAGUCGAUAAUAUGGCUUCGCAAGUAACAUUACCACGGGACUUGCAUGGUGCAGUUGACUUCAGCAAAUAUCCGUUUCGAGCGUAUGUAAGUGAUCUUCAUGGUAAAAUGGUGGGAGUUAGUCUGUUUGGCACUGUAAGAAGUGUUUGCAAAGUAAGCACAUCUGGCACUACAUUCUAUUUGGAGAUAGAAGACGCAACAGGAGUUGUUCUGACGAAGCUUAUCUUUACUGGACACUGGUCAUUAGGUAGAGUUGGAGUUGGUCAUAUGGUGUAUAUCUCUGGUCUGACUUGUAGUUUGAAUAAAAUAAACAUCCUUGAAGUCUCGUGGAGCGAAAAGGAGCCAGGAUCACUGUUUGUUAACUUGAGCUUACUGCCAGCGUUGUUGAAUUCAACAUGCCUGCAUAAUAUAUCACUCUUGUCAGAUCUGCCCCAUUCAGCAAACAGAACACAUAUAUGCCGUGUUCGACUUGACCACAUCGAUUGCGACAGUUUAAAGUUGUCGUUAUUCCACAAUCUCUGUGGUUAUGUUGUGGAUGAACUGCCAGAUGGGCUUCAGUGUUCCUUGUGUAAAGUGGCCUGCCAGAAUGGAUGCACGCCUGGCUUUCAGUUGCACUUGACCAUUGCAGACGACAGCGAGAAGGUCUUUGCAUGGUGUGUUGGUCAAACGGCUGUAGAGUUCCUUCAGAUAUCUCCUGAUGAAUACAUGGAACUCCCUGAGGACGAACAGGCGAUGUAUCUCUUCACCCUCCAGAACGAGAGCUUCACGGUCGCCAUCGCCAACACCAGCAAGCGGGUCGAUGGGUACGCCGAGAACGCCGAGGCCCUCCCUGUGUGGGAGAUCACAAGAGCCCAGAGAUGCGAAUGA